AGUUACAAAGAAAGCCCUUGAUCAUUUAUAGGAUCUCCGACAUAAAACAUUGGGAGGUGAUAAUGAUCAUCUGCCUUGAUGUGUUUUAUUGAUUUAAAACUAAAAUUACAAAGACGAUGAAGGUGAUACAAGUACAGGUGUAAUAGUGGAGCUAAGACUAUAAAUAACACUUGUAAAUCACAUGCAUACAAGCUUCUAGCGAUUAAUUUAAACAAAACGUUCUGAAUCCAAAUGCUACUUCAUGUAACGUUUAACAAAACGCUACAAGCCACCAGCUACCAACUAAUUUUGCCGAACACGCCCUAUAAAUGUUAGAAAUAUUAGUGGUAAUAAUCAGGAUCCUAAAAUAUAUUUAAGGAUCCUGAGUCUUCAGAAAUAUUUAAGGAUUCUUAAUAUGAUUCAAAGAUCCUGUCCCUAACAAUGAUAUUUUUGUUUAAAGUAAAAGUUAAAAUUUUAUACUUUAGAAUAUAACUUUUUUCUUUUUAUUCAAAAGUUUUGUUAAAGCUUUCAAAAAUCCAGUGCAAACCUACCUUUAAUGGAUCAAAAUCAAACAUAAAAUCAAACCAUUAAUAAUCUCUGAAAUAACUUAGUACCUUAAGCAUUACAGAUUGGGAGUGGGCAUCGGUCAGCAAAUCCGACGUGGGGUCGAUGAACACCGAGCCACGAACUCGGCAUGCCGAGUUUAGUGGCCAAACUAUGUUUGACUGAGGUGAAUUCAGUACACUCGAGACCAUUCCUCCCAAUCUUAUAAAAUAGAGUAUGUCAUCUUAACAACCAUAUAGAAAUAAAUGAUUAAUUAAAUAAUCGAAUUUAAGUGGAGUAGUUGGGCUAUAGCAUAUAAUAAACUAAAGUCGUAUAAAAGUUAACAAACCCAUAUAUUCCCAUGCGCUUCGCACAUGCAUACUUUA
rnacentral:lncRNA from 1 species